UUUGGUAGCCAUAGAGGAGAGGGUACACCCGACCCCAUUCCGAACUCGGAAGUUAAGCUCUCCAUCGCCGAUGAUACUGCAUAACGUCAUGUGGGAAAGUAGGCCGCUGCCAAAG
rnacentral:rRNA from 1 species